rnacentral:rRNA from 1 species
UACGUAGGGUGCAAGCGUUGUCCGGAAUCAUUGGGCGUAAAGCGCGCGUAGGCGGCUUUGCAAGUCGGGUGUGAAAUCCCCAGGCUUAACCUGGGAACUGCAUUCGAGACUGCAUUGCUAGAGUAUGGGAGAGGGAAGUGGAAUUUCCGGUGUAGCGGUGAAAUGCGUAGAUAUCGGAAGGAAGACCAGUGGCGAAGGCGGGUCUCUGGACAGUUCCUGACGCUGAGGCACGAAGGUCAGGGGAGCAAACGGG